CUUCCUCAAAAACGUCACAUCAUAGGCUUUCUGGCGAUAUGAUUGGUUAAGGGAUUUGUGGCGCGAAUUUCUUUUACUACGUGAAGGAAAAAUCAAGAGUUGACGUCUCCCUCCACUAGAGGAAAAACAGCAGGAAGCACUAUGCAUCGUUGAUCUUGACAUCGUCUAAAGGAUAAACUACUGGAUCAUCUGAGAUGGAGGGAGAGAAGUAUGUGCAACUGGGGUGAAAGCAGCCGACUGCUGAUGGCAAAUAUGACCCCAAGGACCACGGUGGCAUGGACAUGGGACAUGGAUGGGUAGCUUCUGGAUGAAGAAGAUGACAAUGAUGUGCUACAGGAGGAGAUAAUCUCCCAUCAUCCUCAGCUGGUUACUCUUGUAAGCCCA